rnacentral:ncRNA from 1 species
CAUCUUCGGGGCAGGGUGUAAUUCCCGACCGGCGGUAAUAGGAAACGCAACUUCCGACCAUUCACAUGGAGGAUUUUGCAGAUGUUUUCUUCAGCCCGCGAGCUUUUUUAUAAAGCAGGAUUUGGUGCGAUUCCAAAGCCGACAGUAUAGUCUGGAUGGGAGAAGGUG